CCCUUAGAUGUUCUGGGCUGCACGCGCGCUACACUGAUGCGUUCAACGAGUCCAUGACCUUGCCCGGCAGGGUUGGGUAAUCUUCUGAAAACGCAUCGUGAUGGGGAUAGAUUAUUGCAAUUAUUAAUCUUCAACGAGGAAUGCCUAGUAGGCGCAAGUCAUCAGCUUGCGUCGAUUACGUCCCUGCCCUUUGUACACACCGCCCGUCGCUCCUACCGAUUGGGUGUGCUGGUGAAAUGUUCGGAUCGGCCGUUUGUCGCGGUUUCCGCGUCAUGUGGCUGAGAAGUUCAUUAAACCCUCCCACCUAGAGGAAGGAGAAGUCGUAACA
rnacentral:rRNA from 1 species